UACGUAGGGGGCUAGCGUUGUCCGGAAUCAUUGGGCGUAAAGCGCGUGUAGGCGGCCCGGUAAGUCCGUUGUGAAAGUCAAAGGCUCAACCUUUGAAUGCCGAUGGAUACUGCGGAGCUAGAGUACGGAAGAGGCGAGUGGAAUUCCUGGUGUAGCGGUGGAAUGCGCAGAUAUCAGGAGGAACACCAAUAGCGAAGGCAGCUCGCUGGGACGUUACUGACACUAAGGCGCGAAAGCGUGGGGAGCGAACAGG
rnacentral:rRNA from 1 species